GCCAGCAUGGUGUAGUGGUUUGAGCAUUGGACUAGGACUCUGGAGAUGAGGGUUCGAAUCCCAGCUCAGCCA
rnacentral:tRNA from 1 species